CGGUGCAGAUGUGAAAGUUAAGCACUCAAGUAUGAACCUCUUUUGCUUCAUGGCUGUGUUUUAGGAGCAGGAAGAAGAAUGCGAGUCUCACAGACUCCUGAAACUGCAGUACACAGAGAUUAUGAAAACUUUAAAACAGUGCUACGAGUUACUAAAAGGUCACAGGGAACCUGGAGCCUAUCACAGGGAGCAUCGGGCACGAGGCGGGGUACACCCUGGACAGGGAGCCAAUCCAUCACAUGAAACAAUCCCAUACCCAUUCACACACUACGAACACUUUGGACAUGCCAAUCAGCCUACCAUUGGUCUUUGGACUGGGGGAGGAAACCUGAGUACCCAGAAGAAACCCACACAGCACGGGGAGAACAUGCAAACUCCACACAUUCUCUGGUGGGAAUCGAACCCCCAACCCUGGUGGUGUGAGGCGAAAGUGCUAACAACUAAGCCACUGUGCUGCAAAAAUUUCUAUAACAACCAAAAAGAUAAAAUGGUUUAAAUGGUUUAGGUGAAUAAUCUAUGAAUGGCCAAAACACAGAUCUCAGCAGGGAUCCAAAACCAGUACAGAUAGAAUUGCUGUUUAUCCGGAAAAUAGACAGAUACAGCAUGCGCAUACAGCAUCAACGUUAAUUGUAAACAGUUUAAUGUUUCAAAGUCUUAAAGCAGUAUUUUAAGAUCAGCAGCACAUGCAUUCUCUUUAACUGAUAAACAUGGAUAAGAAGUAACUAGCAGGCCCUAUCCAUUAACAAAAUCACAGUUUAUCUGGCGAGGAGGCAUUUUAAUGUGAUUGGAC
ensembl:lncRNA